AGUCUCCUCCAGCCUGAACAGACCAAGUGACCUCAGCUGCUUCUCACGUGGCUUCCUCCCAAGGCCUGUCACCAAAUUUGUAGCCCUCCUUUGAGAACUCUGUAAAAGUUCCAUGUCUCCCUUACAUUGUGUCACCCAAAACUGCCCCCAGCACUCGAGGUGAGGCAGCCCCAGUGCAGAGCAGAGUGGGACAAUCCCCUCCCUGGCCUGGCUGGUGAUACUGUGCCUGAUACACCCCAGAACAGGGUUGGCCCUCUGGGCUGCCAGGGCACUGCUGACUUGUGUUCAACUUGCUUUUCCAAGGUGCUGCUUUCCAGACUCUCAUUCCCCAGUCUGUCUGUACAUCCAGGUGUGCCCCUCUCCAGGUGCAGAAUCUGUCACUUGUCUUUGUUAAACUUCAUAUAAUUGGUGACUGCCCAGCCCUAAUUGUCAAGAUAUUUCUGCAGGGCUUCUUUGCCUUCAAGGGAGUGAAUAGUUCCUCCCAAUUCCUGGAAAUAUAUAUAGUAUAGAUAUACUAUAUAUAGUAUUCCUUGUAGAGCUUUCAUAAGUCCCUUUUUUGCAGCUUUCUGAGAAAGUCUCUGGCAUUCAUGCCCUGACUGUCGGUUUCUCUUUGCUAAGUGAACCUGGUUCUCUAUGAAAAAUGCAGCUGAGUCAGUCACAGCCAAGCUCAGGUCAAUAUUUUCCCUCUGGUUCUCUGCUCAUUGGACUUUCAAGCACAACCCAAGGAACAUGUUCUUCUCCCCACUGCCAGGCUGCCUGUGUCAUGUCCUCCUGUGCUGUUGAGCUUUGCUGAUUUUGAAUCAGGUGUCCAGGAUCCCUCCAGAAAGGCAGACCAUGCAAACUCUAGAUCAGAUACUCAGAGAAUAACAAGAGACACCACAGACUGUGCCAGUAGUCCCUGAGCUCAUCUUGCUCCUUGCAAGCAUGAAGAUAGAUUCUCCCUGUGAGAGCAUGGGCUUCUAGAUGCUCUGUGAUGGCUCUGAUAGUAAAUGUCACAGUGAGAGAUAGUUCUGCAGGAACCACCAGAAGAGAUUGCUCCAGCUGCAGUAAUAAAGAUCAGAAGAAGUGUGAUGGCUGGCUCUUGAACUGGAUUAUUUUUCUCAUUCCUUCUGGAUUACUUGUCCUCGCAGUGGCCAACAAAAAGCUAACUUACAGCAUGUAAGGAGUAUCUCACCAAUGAGCAAAACAUCUUUAAAUAUCCUGAAACUCUGGUGGGAGACUGUUUGCAAGAAGAAACUAAACACGAGAAGAUGUCCAGGAAGGUUCCUGUAUGUACACAGCACAACAUGUGAGAGGGACAGGACAGCAUGUUGGGACAGUCACAGUGCCUGGCAGAUCAUGCUCGGUGCUGGCCAGGAAGCUGAAGCACAUCAAACAAUACUGGACUCUCUCAGGAAGUCUGUGAUUGCACAUCAUUUACACUGUCUUUUAAAUAGACCAUCAUUUAAACUGCCUCAGAUAUAAUGCAAGAAUUCAAAACACCAGCCCAGGGAUGGUAUCACUGUUGAAACAGCAUCUGAGUCCUCUUGACUGUGAUUACACUUGGUUGUUUUGGCUAGAUCUUAUUUCCACUCCUAUCAUCAGCAGGAGGUUUCUAUCUUGCCCAUCCCAAGUGACCAAGAGAAGUGUCAACACCUCUAAGAUGAAGGACAAGUCUGCUGCCUGCUCUGCUGCCAGCACAGCCUGCUGUUAUAGCAUAAAGGAAUAGGCACCUCAGAAAGGAGGUGCUGAUCAGCAAAAUCUGCACUCCUUUCUCCCAACACACUUAGGAGCCAAAGCAAAAUAUAAGCU